UGGGGAAUUUUGGACAAUGGGCGAAAGCCUGAUCCAGCAAUGCCGCGUGUGUGAAGAAGGCCUUCGGGUUGUAAAGCACUUUUGUCCGGAAAGAAAUCCUUGGCUCUAAUACAGUCGGGGGAUGACGGUACCGGAAGAAUAAGCACCGGCUAACUACGUGCCAGCAGCCGCGGUAAUACGUAGGGUGCAAGCGUUAAUCGGAAUUACUGGGCGUAAAGCGUGCGCAGGCGGUUUGCUAAGACCGAUGUGAAAUCCCCGGGCUCAACCUGGGAACUGCAUUGGUGACUGGCAGGCUAGAGUAUGGCAGAGGGGGGUAGAAUUCCACGUGUAGCAGUGAAAUGCGUAGAGAUGUGGAGGAAUACCGAUGGCGAAGGCAGCCCCCUGGGCCAAUACUGACGCUCAUGCACGAAAGCGUGGGGAGCAAACAGGAUUAGAUACCCUGGUAGUCCACGCCCUAAACGAUGUCAACUAGUUGUUGGGAUUCAUUCCUUAGUAACGUAGCUAGCGCGUGAAGUUGACCGCCUGGGGAGUACGGUCGCAAGAUUAAAACUUC
rnacentral:rRNA from 1 species